rnacentral:lncRNA from 10 species
GGAAGGCCACAGGAAGGUGACAGCUGAGGCAGGAGAGUACUUGCAUGUUUCCAUUUACGUUUCUGUUCUUGCCUUCUGUCAUCACCAUGACAACAUGCCCAGUCUGGCUCCUGGAGGAUGGGACACACAACGUGGGAACCGGCAAGUCACCAGAGUCAUCUCAGCCAAGAUCAACCAAUAGUCAAUUACCAGGAACGUGAGAGAAUUCUGAGACCAGGACUGCUCAGCCACCUCUGCCUAAAAUACCAACACACAGAACAGUAAAGUGAAUGGAUGUUUAUUAUCCUAAGCCACUAUAUUUUGAGAUUGUACCUCAUGCAGCACUAUUAUGACCAUAGGUGACUGAUAUAAAAAGUAAGGAAUUAUGAAUCAUAAGAAAAAGAUGAACCAAGGAAAGAAUCAGCUUUGAAGAGGUGGUAAACUAUGGGAGUUGGGUAUGCUUUUCUGCAAUGAUCUUGUCUUAUUUUCUUUUUUUUUAAAGGAAGGCCUACCUGAAUAAUUCUGUGCAGGAAGAUAAAAGCAAGAUUAGAGUGAGACCUAUUCAGGGAGGUGUCAUUUUGUGAGCAGUUCAUGACCAUACCCAAUAAUCAGGGUCUGUCUACAUAUCUGAAUUUUAAU